GAUGAAGAACGUAGCUAAAUGCGAUAAGUAAUGUGAAUUGCAGAAUUCAGUGAAUCAUCGAAUCUUUGAACGCACCUUGCACCCUUUGGCAUUCCGAAGGGUAUGCUCGUUUGAGUGUCAUUGUACUCUCACACUUCCGAUCUUUGGAUUGGGAGCGGUGGACUUGGGUGUUGCUGCUUACUGUGGCUCACCUCAAAUCGAUUCGUGCACCUCUUGGUUGGACAUAGUACGGCGUGAUAAGUGUCUUCGCCGGCACCUCAGUAGAGGGUGGCUGAUCGGGAGCUCUGCUUCAAACCGUCCUCGGACAACAACUGACAACUUGACCUCAAAUCGAGUAGGACUACCCGCUGAACUUAAGCAUAUCAAUAAGCGGAGGA
rnacentral:misc_RNA from 1 species